UGGGCCAGAGUCCCAGGAGCUCUUGGAGUGU
rnacentral:piRNA from 1 species